UACGGAGGGUGCGAGCGUUGUCCGGAAUCACUGGGCGUAAAGCGUGCGCAGGCGGUUUUGUAAGCCAGAUGUGAAAUCCCCGGGCUUAACCUGGGAAUGGCAUUUGGGACUGCAAGGCUGGAGUGUGGCAGAGGAGACUGGAAUUCCUGGUGUAGCAGUGAAAUGCGCAGAUAUCAGGAAGAACACCCGUGGCGAAAGCGGCUCUCUGGAACGGUACUGACGCUGAGACGCGAAAGCGUGGGGAGCGAACAGG
rnacentral:rRNA from 1 species